rnacentral:rRNA from 1 species
AGCGAACGCUGGCGGCAGGCCUAACACAUGCAAGUCGAACGAACCCUUCGGGGUUAGUGGCGGACGGGUGAGUAACACGUGGGAACGUGCCUUUAGGUUCGGAAUAACUCAGGGAAACUUGUGCUAAUACCGAAUGGGCCCUUCGGGGGAAAGAUUUAUCGCCUUUAGAGCCGCCCUCGUCUGAUUAGCUAGUUGGUGAGGUAAUGGCUCACCAAGGCUACGAUCAGCAGCUGGGCUGAGAAGAUGACCAGCAACAUUGGGACUGAGACACGGCCCAAACUCCUACGGGAGGCAGCAGUGGGGAAUCUUGCGCAAUGGGCGAAAGCCUGACGCAGUCAUGCCGCGUGGAUGAUGAAGGUCUUAGGAUUGUAAAAUCCUUUCACCGGUGAAGAUAAUGACUGUAGCCGGAGAAGAAGCCCCGGCUAACUUCGUGCCAGCCGCCGCGGUAAUAC